rnacentral:tRNA from 1 species
GGGGGUAUAGCUCAGUUGGUAGAGCACCUGCCUUGCACGCAGGGGGUCAGCGGUUCGAGUCCGCUUACCUCCA